GUAGAGGCCUCCCAUUGGGGUGCGAACCCCGCUGCAAUUAUUAACAGCCCCACGACUUAGGGCUCCAUUAACUGGUUUAAUUGAAGACAAAACUUUGAAGUGUAACCUCACAGGUAGUUUGUGAAUGAAGAAAGUGGAUGGAAAAAUGUGAAGAUAUUCUUACAAAUCAUUGCCAUAAUAAAUAGUUUUACUCAUUUUGCAACAAAGAGUAAAAUGGCAAUGAGAAAAAUAAAAUGGAUGAAAUGUGGACUCGUCUAAAAACUGCAAUGAGCGAUGCAGCAAAGGAAACAUUAGGAAAAUAAACAACAAAAAAGAGUUGAGUGGUUUGAUAACGAAUACAGGGUAGCAAUUAAUAUUAAGAACGAAGUAUAUAGAAAGUAUAUCGCGAUCAAACCCGAGAAAGGAAAGAAAUCUUUAAAGAGGAGCAUCGCAAAGCAGACAAAAUAUGUUGAUAGAAGAAGAGAAAAUAUGAAAAGGAGCAAAUACUUAAAAAAAAGGAAAUUUCAAAUAUAAAUAUAAAUAAUCAGCGAUUUGGAAGAUCAGAACGCGAGAAGCAGAAAUUGUGUAUGAAAGAAACGAGGAGAACAUGGAUGGACAUGAAACUGAAGAGGAGACCACGACAGCACCAAUAAUUACAGAAGUAAAAGCUAAAAUUUUUUCCCCUCUGCGGCGUCACCUCUACUAACAACAGGUUAAUUCCUACUAUAUUUUUAGAUUGGCAACAAAGCAUAAGAUACAGAAUCUGAGAAGAUAAUCAAAAAAUGGAAAGACCAAUAAACUUAAAGGUCUGAAUACCAUUAUUGUUUUAUUGUCUUUCACUUGGUCCAAAGGUUCAACUUCACUGCCGUGCCAAAAAAUUACACUUCAUCAUCUGAAGCUCUGUGGAAUUCUUUCGAAUUCCUGCUUUGGAAUUUUCUGGAAAGGUGCACAUUCAAGAAAAAAACUUUAACAUAAUGGCUUUUGGUAGUUUGUCAGACUUAUCAUACUACUGUUAUACUUGGUGGGACACUACACGAAUCAAACUGACCUGUAACACCAUUAUGGAGUAAAAACUCCAAAAAUAGUUGUAUGCAGAAAGUAUUUUAUUAUGGUAUGACAAAUUUAUUGAACACGAACAUUAAGUUGUCAUCAUCAAAGCUUGAGUCUUCGUUAUCUUCAACAUUCUGUCAGAGUGCAAAAUGAUAUUUCUUGUAGAUGGUAUUCACAUUAAUCAAAAAAUGUCACUUGAAAAAAUUAGGACAGCUUUAAACAAACACUGCCAUUUUCGAUCAUCAAAAAAUGUUACUUGAAAAUGUAAACCUAGAACGGACAGAAGAUAGAUAACAAACAAGAAUCCUCUACGUCAUUUUCCAGCACAACUUCAAACUACCACGGCCGUUUUCGAAGACAUCGGCCGCCCCUGGCCAUCGAGGGCGUUCCGCACUCUUUUCGCUCCGCCGAUAUGCAUUAAUAUAUUAAUAUACAGGGUGGUUACAUACAUACAUGAAAAUCACAAUUAAUUGGUGUUAUUUAGUUAGUAGUAGAUCCUAGUAAGUGCAUAACUUCCAUAGCAAGCUAUAAAGAAAAAAAAUAUUUAAUAAUAGCUGUGCUUUACAGUACAAGGUAGCAUAUUUUAUUUUUUUGGGCUAAUACUAUUAACUUUAAGGAAAAAACU